CGAUUGUCAUCUUCGCCGGAGGAGCUCGUCGUCGGAGCCUCGCCGGAGCCUCGCCAGAGGUCGAACAAGGAGGCGAACCCUCCUGAUAUCCUGUCAUCAGGUCUGCCGCGAACUUUCUUUCCGAUUCGGUUGGCUCUUCCUUCUCCGAUCGACGCGAGAUCCAUUUGAUCGCCGGCGUGAAGAGUUAAUUAGGGUUUCAAGGGUCCGAUCUUGGAUCCAACCUUCGUUCGUGUUGAUUUGGGGAUAGAAGAAUCCUUGGUACGUUGUUUCACGGAUCGGAUUGGGCGAUGUUUUCUGGAGACAACCGAUUGAAGGGAGGGGAGGUUCUGUGAAGGUGAUCUUGGAUUCCCUCUGUGUCGCUGCUAAUUGAGGUCUCGGGUGAAUUGGGAAAGAACUCCAGCAGAGGUUGCUGUGGGUUUUCUGAUCCAGCAAGGUGAA